rnacentral:rRNA from 1 species
UUUUUGGAGAGUUUGAUCUUGGCUCAGGACGAACGCUGGCGGCGUGCCUAAUACAUGCAAGUCGAGCGCGGGAAGCUAACUGAACCCUCCGGGGUGACG